AUGACUCUCGGCAACGGAUAUCUCAGCUCUCGCAUCGAUGAAGAACGUAGUGAAAUGCGAUACUUGGUGUGAAUUGCAGAAUCCCGUGAACCAUUGAGUCUUUGAACGCAAGUUGUGCCCGAAGCCGUCAGGCCGAGGGCACGUCUACCUGGGCGUCA
rnacentral:rRNA from 1 species